GAUGAACGCUGGCGGCGUGCCUAAUACAUGCAAGUCGAGCGAACGGACGAGAAGCUUGCUUCUCUGCUGUUAGCGGCGGACGGGUGAGUAACACGUGGAUAACCUACCUAUAAGACUGGGAUAACUUCGGGAAACCGGAGCUAAUACCGGAUAAUAUUUUGAACCGCAUGGUUCAAAAGUGAAAGACGGUCUUGCUGUCACUUAUAGAUGGAUCCGCGCUGCAUUAGCUAGUUGGUAAGGUAACGGCUUACCAAGGCAACGAUGCAUAGCCGACCUGAGAGGGUGAUCGGCCACACUGGAACUGAGACACGGUCCAGACUCCUACGGGAGGCAGCAGUAGGGAAUCUUCCGCAAUGGGCGAAAGCCUGACGGAGCAACGCCGCGUGAGUGAUGAAGGUCUUCGGAUCGUAAAACUCUGUUAUUAGGGAAGAACAUAUGUGUAAGUAACUGUGCACAUCUUGACGGUACCUAAUCAGAAAGCCACGGCUAACUACGUG
rnacentral:rRNA from 1 species